rnacentral:rRNA from 1 species
AACGAACGCUGGCGGCAGGCCUAACACAUGCAAGUCGAACGCCCCGCAAGGGGAGUGGCAGACGGGUGAGUAACACGUGGGAACCUACCUUGUGGUACGGAACAACCAAGGGAAACUUUGGCUAAUACCGUAUGAGCCCGAGAGGGGAAAGAUUUAUCGCCAUAAGAUGGGCCCGCGUCGGAUUAGCUAGUUGGUGAGGUAAUGGCUCACCAAGGCGACGAUCCGUAGCUGGUCUGAGAGGAUGACCAGCCACACUGGGACUGAGACACGGCCCAGACUCCUGCGGGAGGCAGCAGUGGGGAAUAUUGGACAAUGGGCGCAAGCCUGAUCCAGCCAUGCCGCGUGUGUGAUGAAGGCCUUAGGGUUGUAAAGCACUUUCGCCGAUGAAGAUAAUGACGGUAGUCGGAGAAGAAGCCCCGGCUAACUUCGUGCCAGCAGCCGCGGUAACAC